rfam:Aedes albopictus isolate Foshan contig41248, whole genome shotgun sequence.
UUUCCCUCAGGAUAGCUGGAGCACGCAACGUUUCGAAUCCUAUUCUUAUCUGGUAAAGCGAAUGAUUAGAGGCCUUAGGUUCGAAAUGAUCUUAACCUAUUCUCAAACUAUAAAUGGGUACGUACCAUAGCAUUCUUGCAUGAUGCUGUUGCAAACGUUGGUAAACGCCG